AGGCAUAGCUCAGAUGGCAGAGCAGCGGAUUUUUAAUCCGUUGGGCGCAGGUUCGAUUCCUGCUGCUUGC
rnacentral:tRNA from 1 species